rnacentral:rRNA from 1 species
UGAGCAAUCUGCCCUUCACAUCGGAAUAACCAUUGGAAACGAUGGCUAAUACCGAAUAUGACUUCGGAUCGCUUGAUCUGAAGUGGAAAGCUCCGGCGGUGAAGGAUGAGCUCGCGGCCUAUCAGCUUGUUGGUGAGGUAAUAGCUCACCAAGGCGAUGACGGGUAGCCGGCCUGAGAGGGUGACCGGCCACACUGGGACUGAGACACGGCCCAGACUCCG